rnacentral:lncRNA from 1 species
CUGAGCCAGCCCAGGCUGGCCUUAUCUCUCUCCUCAGCCCAGUGUUUGUUUGAAGAGAAUCAAAGCAUGUUCUUUUUCUGUUUUCUUCAAAGGGAAGGAGAGAAUGAUGCUGGCCACUGCAAGAGGAGAGGGGACUUCGGUUUGCUGGUGGAGUGGUCACAUCAGAGCUUCUGCUGCAGUCUCUUUGCUUCUGGUCAAGUUCUAGCUCUGCUGCCAUCUUUCACCUCCAACACCCCUGAAGCACGGGGAACAGAGGAAGCCCCAGCCACCGCUUCAUGCUUUUGUGGUCAUAGAAGGUCAGAGCAUGCUGACAGAGCAAUUCCUGAGAUUCCAGGUAAGACCAGAGCAAGGUCCAGGAACUGCGACACCUCAUUCAGAGCAGAAGAGAGGAGAAUAGAUCCCGACAUGCAUCUGUUUAGUGCAGAACCGCCAACCUCCAUGUCUCUCAGUGAAGGUGGUGGUUUCAUCACCAGCAGCAGCAGCUAGUCUUUGCUCCUCCACAUGGCCCAUGCCAGCCCUGCCUCUGUCCACACAUACCGUAUCUUAGCUCAAUGUAUUCUGUGUUAGUGCUGUUUUCCUAUGCUUUUGUUUGCCUAUAGACU